CCAAUCUCUCUCUCUACCACAUUCCUCAUAUUUUCUCUCUCUAGUCUCUAACAUUAAUCUGCUCAUCCCCACCUAACCCCCUAGGGCGAAGCAAAACCCCCAGAGGAAGCAGAUGCGUGCAGUGGUUCGUUGCUACACGAGAGCAAAAUCGUAGUGCAUCGCGACGACGAUCGUUGCUCGUGACACCGUUGCAUGCAGAAAAUGCUUGGGGUCCAGUUUUCUGAAAAUAAGUGCAAUGGUAAUGAUAUGGUGGACAGAUGUUGGUCCGACAACAGAACUAGGGAGUGACUAAUUGAGAUGGGUGCUUGAUGGAAUGGUGGUUCGACGGUGGGUGCUUGGGAUUGUAGAUCUGGAGUUCAGUUGGUUGGGACGGUGUUUCAGCGGUAGUCCAAUGGUGCUUGAAGAAAUUGCAAAAAAAUGCACACCACGUGUUCGUCACUUUUAGAUUUGGGAUGGUUAAAAUCCCUUCUUUUUUUCCCUUUUGAGUUGGCUUAUAAAAUUUCGUGGUUAAGAUUUGUAGUCAAUUGCAAUCUUUAAGGUUCGGUGGCGAUUGGUGGUGGUUCUGAUGAUGGUGUGAUGUCGAUGGUGGUGUUUAGUGGAUUGUGAUAUUGGUCUGAGGUGUGUGCAGAUUUAUUUGUGGUGACCCCAUGUCACUAGGUAUGUGUUUUGUUGUGACUGUUUGUGAUCACUUUUUUAUUGAUUGUGACCGUUGUGACUUGGUCACAAUUAAAGAUUGACCUAGUUAAAAACAGUCACACUAGAUACAAAUUUGGCACAAUUAGUCAUAUCAAAGAUAAAUUUGAUCACCGUUAAUCACAAUAACAUAGGUCAGUGAAUUUAUUACAUACAGUUGUAGGGAAAAUAAAUUUGAUCACAAAUAGUUACAUGAAACACAGGUAUAGUCAUGAACAAUAAAUUUGGUAAUAGAUAAAUUUUUAGAGACUUUUCUACAGUGGAGUAUAGAGAGUGAAAAUGCUUUCAAUUUUUGAAUAUUUUUCUAUCGCCGAAGCUGGAGCAGCCGUCGGAGCGAUGGUUGGAGUGGUCGUCGGAGUGAUCAUCGAAGAGAUCGUCGAAGUAGUCGUCGGAGCUGAUGGCUGCCUCCAUUGGGAAGAAAGGGUAUGAAAAGGAUAGAGAGUAGAGAGAGAAAAAGAGUGGCUUUGAUUUGAAAUUUGGUGUGAUUAAUUAUAUUAUAUUAUAAUUAAAGUUUUAAUAAAUUGAUUUAUCAUCUGAUUUUUGAAAGUUUUGUGGAGUUCGU
rnacentral:lncRNA from 1 species